UGUGUGACGGAGGCUGUGCAGUGGAAGGCCCACCUGGGAGUGGGCAGCUGACAGAUGACAGGCUGACAGUUCGAGGUGUUAGAUUAACUUGAAUGUGUUCUGUUCUGGAACAUCUAACACCGACAGGGCCUGUAGGAAAAUGAUAUUCUUAAAAAAAUGGUUUUAUAGUUUCUUUUCAUGAAAAUGUUGAAGAAAACACACAAACAAGCAGAAGCCACCAGGACCUGUACCAGCCUCCCUGGGAGGGUGAAGAGCACUUGGCUGUAGUGGAAAUGUGCUGCUUGUGUUCGUGGCCCAUUAUCCAGGGACGUCAGGGAAGGAACUUGAUGCGGGAACCUGGAGGCAGGAAUUGCAGGAGAGACCACAGAAGAGAUCUGCUUACUGGCUUGUUCUUCAUAGAUGAGGAAGCGGAGCCUGAAGUGACCUGCCCAGGGUUGCAAUGCUGAGCCACCCUCUUCCCGGUGACUUCAAGGAGAACAACAAGGGGUGCAGUCAGCAGCUUGCGGAACGAGGCUGAGGAGGUGACCGAUGUCUCCAUCUUCCUGGUCUUUCACCUUUCUGAGUUGUCCAGUAUGAGCGGGGCUGUGAAGCUUCUUGGGGCCGUAACACUUGAAACAUCUCUUGGCUAGCAUCUUACUACCCAAGCUCAAAAGUUUCUGUUUCAUUCAAGCUAUCACUUCCCUAUCAUGACUUAUUUUUCCUUUUUAAAGUUGAAUUAAUAAAUUUCUCCUGGGUUGAACAUUCUUCACUCUACCCAUUUCAUUCUUGGAGAACAGUGGGAGACAGGGGGAUUGACAGUCUCACCCAACUGUUUCACUUACAGGAGCCCAAAUGACUCAAAGGCAGCUGCCCCCAGGAAGGGCCCCACCCCAGCAUGAGUGAUGACUCACAAAAGCCACACAACUGGAGUCCCCUGAGAGAUCUGCCGGCAGCCGGACAGUGGAAGCUCCUCUUCAAAGCAGCCAUCACUGCUAUGUGGGGAGGGCGGGGCUUGCGACUUGUAUGUUUCAGGAGCUUCCUGAGUUUUCUGAGUCUUCAAUUCUGAGUUUUGUUUAUUUGUGGAAACUUAAGGAGCUUCUCUCCUGGGUGGAAUGUUUUAAUUAAGAGGAAAUUGCUAUGUAACGUCUCCUUCGUUUGGUUUGUUCCUAGGUAUUUUAUUAGUAGUUUUUGAGGUUUUGUGAAUGUAUUGGAUGUCUGGAUUUCUUUCUUGGUGAGUUUGUUACUGGCUUAUAGAAAAGCCACUUUUUUUUGCUUGUUGAUUUUGUAUUCUGCUACUUUGCUGAGCGUUUUUCAGAUCUACAAGUUUUUGAUGGAGUCCUCAGGGCAUUUUAAGUACAGGAUCUCUUCUUCAACAAACGGGGCUAAUUUGAUGUUUCCCUUUCCUCUUUGUGACCUGUGUUGGUGGUGUAGUAGUGAGGGUAGCUGCCUUUCUUUCCUGUUUGUGUAUCUCUUUAACUUUUAAAAAAUGUUUGUGUAUGGUAUGAGUAUUUACCUGCAUUCAUGUAUGUGAACCAUGUGUGUGCCUGGUGUCUGUGGAGGUCAGAAGACAGACAGU